GAAAUAGCUUCACUUUCUGCACUUGCUGUAUGUCAUUAUCUCCCACCUCAAUCCCUUUUAAUCUGGAAGGGAAGCCCUUUUGGUUAUUCUCAAUAGGCUCAAAAUAGCAAACUGUAACCGUCCUGUUUACAUGUACCCUGCCCUGCCACUGACCCAGAAAGUACAAGGGGUGUAGAGAUGGCAGAGUAAACUAGUCACAGUGACAGGCAAGAUGGGAAUGAGCAGGGGAUGUGAGGAGCUAAGAAGGUGACCAAUUUUAAAGUCUGCAGGAUAAAAUGAAUUUUUUUUUUUUAAAAAAGCAAAAACUCUGAGUUCAAACAAUGAAAAGGAAAAUAAGACUCAAUGGAAGUCAUGGACUAUUCUAGACUAUAUUGUAUGAGAAGAUUUAGAGCAAUGCUAGCUCCAGGCCAUGGAACUUUGACUAAGAGGACAGAGAAGACACAAAGGAACGUAGGAUUAUGUUGGGAGACUGGAGAGACCCUGGAAAGGAUUGCAACACAGUCAGCAACUUUUAACCCACCUAACCAGCGGCUCCAGCCCUGGUGA
rnacentral:lncRNA from 1 species